UAUAAAUAGAUCAUCAUGCAAAAAACUACAAACAAACAAUACCCCCCCAAACCAACAGACUUUCAGUAGAAGAUGCUGAUUCCAGUAAAAUACUUCCAUGAAUACUGUAAAUAAUCACUUUAGCUUUGAUACUUACCUACAUACCUACAUUUUAGUUGCCAUAUCAUAGCAUAUUCUGAUUAAUUUAUGCAGGCUUCAGUCAUCCCACAUUUUCAGCUAUUCAUCCCAGAUUCUUUUUUACCUUCAGAUUUUACCUUCCAUUUCCAUUAGCAAGCUACUGUCAGUGUGUAAUAUAACCAUGAUCUAAUGACAGGAUGGUCUAAGCAGAACUUGACUUCAGUAAUGUUUUUUAUCUGGGCUGUAACUUCUUUGAAUGUAGAAGAACAAUUUAAAAACUUUUGUUGUUACCUCAAAGCAUUAUAAAAUUAAAGGGAGAAGAGGUCCCUUUGGAAGAGACCUAUAAUUACCUAGGCCAACUCUGUGACAAUACAAGGGCUGACCAUAAGAUGAAGAACGUUAUUAAGUCUCUGUCCAAAUGCCUCUUAAACAUUGGCAGACUUGGAGUAUUGACCACCUCUCCAGGAAGCCUAUUCCAGUGUUUGAUCAGCCAGUCAGUAAAGAAAUUUUUCUUCCCUCACACAGCUUUGAGCCAUUUCCACAUGUCCUGUUUUUGAAAACCAGGAAGAAGAGCUCAGCAACUCCUUCUCCAAAAGCACAAGAGAACAGCUUUGAAGGGGAGAAAAAACACCAAACCCGUAAGAGGCUAAAGCAGAAUAGUUUCUAUACCAUAAGGAUAUAA
rnacentral:lncRNA from 1 species